UACGUAGGUGGCAAGCGUUGUCCGGAUUUACUGGGCGUAAAGAGCGCGCAGGCGGUCGGCCAAGUCGAGUGUGAAAGCCCCCGGCUCAACUGGGGAGGGUCAUUCGAUACUGGUCGACUCGAAGGCAGGAGAGGGAAGCGGAAUUCCCGGUGUAGUGGUGAAAUGCGUAGAUAUCGGGGAGGAACACCAGUGGCGAAAGGGCGGCUUCCUGGCCUGUUCUUGACGCUGAGGCGGCGAAAGCUAGGGGAGCAAACAGG
rnacentral:rRNA from 1 species